UUUAAGAGUUAGAGUAGUUACUGCAGCUCUAGAAGAACUAACAGUCAGUAGAUCUCACGCUCCAUUUAACAUUAUGCUAAUCCCACUUCUUUGAUAUUUCCCAUCCCAAAGAUUACAGUGAGAUUUCCAAAGCAAUACACUGAGGGCUGAGAUGCUCAUGAAAUCUGGGGGUUAUGAAAAACCUCUGCAGAGUGCAGCCCAAUCUUGCUAUGCAUUUUGGUGAUCAGGCUGAGCAGGUGCAAGGAGCUGGGUGGUUUGGUGAUUGCAGAGGGGCUGCAGCUGGGUUGCUGCUGGCUCAGGGUGCCUCCCUGGUGGGAUUACUUUGAUGUGGCACAGGGAUACAGCAAGUGAAGCGUAGCUGCAGCUCUUUUGGGGAGCACUGGAGAACAGCCUUGUCCUCCUGGUCUGGAAGGUCAGGCAUGUGCCGGCUGCUUGAUGGAGGGGAUGAGAGCAGAGCAGCAGGCUGGAGGAGCUGCCUCACACCGUGCCACGUCCACCUGCCUUGAGGUUGAGUGUUUUUGGAAAGCUCAGGAGCUGCUGAGACCUCUCCAACAUCUGGAGCCUUUCCCCUUCUCCUUUCCCUUCCCCAUGGAUGAGGCAAAUUAAACUACCUGGUUUGUUUCUAGCAAAUAUUUGUCCAAACUCCUAAAAUUCUUCUGCAGAGGAAAUUUGCAAGUGUCAUUCUCUCUCCUUCUCAUCAUUUUGUGAGAAGCUGAAAAUGUGGAUAGGUCCUUCUAUCCUAUAACCAUAAAGCCAUAAAACUUCUUGCAAUGACAAUUAAGGUGAGGUUUUAAAGAUUUGAGGCCUGCUGUGUGCAGAGGCUCAGUUGCGAUAGUUUUCCCUGGAAUCCGUUCACAUGUUAAAAAGAGUUAUGUGCUUUUAAUACCUCGCGUUCACUAACACGUGGUAGGAUUAACAAACCAAACCUUGAGUAAGUUGCAUGCUUUGAUCAUUUCCUCGUGCUUCCUGAAAGCAUCUCCUGAGACAAACUUGCUUCAGACUUCCCUUUACAUACAUGGGUUCAACUUGCAGUAUCUUUUCAAAAGUUUGUAUUAUGUUGAGACAUGAAAUAAACAGUGAAAAGAAACCA
rnacentral:lncRNA from 1 species